CUCAGGAUAAAUUCUCAGAAUUUAAAUUGUGAGGUCAUAGGGCAUGCGUAUUUUUAAGGCUUGAUAGGUCCUACCCACAUGGCUCUCUGAGGAGCUGUGCGAGUUUACCUUCGACGAUGGCCCACAGAAACGUAGUGAUGGUGGCUGGCUUUUUAAAGAAGUGAAGGUGGUACCUUGAAAACUAAGUGAUACAUGAUCAUUCAAGCUGAAAGUGUCGAUGGUUUGCUG
rnacentral:lncRNA from 1 species